rnacentral:rRNA from 1 species
GAUGAACGCUGGCGGCGUGCCUAAUACAUGCAAGUCGAGCGAACAGACGAGGAGCUUGCUCCUCUGACGUUAGCGGCGGACGGGUGAGUAACACGUGGAUAACCUACCUAUAAGACUGGGAUAACUUCGGGAAACCGGAGCUAAUACCGGAUAAUAUAUUGAACCGCAUGGUUCAAUAGUGAAAGACGGUUUUGCUGUCACUUAUAGAUGGAUCCGCGCCGCAUUAGCUAGUUGGUAAGGUAACGGCUUACCAAGGCAACGAUGCGUAGCCGACCUGAGAGGGUGAUCGGCCACACUGGAACUGAGACACGGUCCAGACUCCUACGGGAGGAAGCAGUAGGGAAUCUUCCGCAAUGGGCGAAAGCCUGACGGAGAAACGCCGCGUGAGUGAUGAAGGUCUUCGGAUCGUAAAACUCUGUUAUUAGGGAAGAACAAAUGUGUAAGUAACUAUGCACGUCUUGACGGUACCUAAUCAGAAAGCCACGGCUAACUACGUG